rnacentral:lncRNA from 1 species
AUUAGAAAUGUGGAAAUCUCAUUGUAUUAAAUAUUCAUCUGUAGAGUCCGCCAAAGGGACACUAAGAGGAAGGGCUUCCGGGAUGGCAAAAAAUAGGAGCUGCUUUUCUCAGCUAACGGUUGAGAACUACAUGAAAAUCCAUUAAGAUUUUGAUGGAAAGCAUCAAAACAUUUUCCUGAAGUGGUCCUCAAAGAAUUACUAAACGCCAAAUGCAAAGUACUGUUAUCUACUUAGGAAAAGAUUCUGUGCUUCCAUACAUCAAAUAAAUCUAAAACAGACUCAUUCCAGGAGAAAAGCUAACAUACAUAAAAUCUCCUCUCCCCCAAGACAGUCUGAAGCCUUGCAUUCCAGCAAAACCACAGAAGCUACAAAGACAUCAUGCUGGAGAAUUCGUGCUACACGGCUUCAUCGGUUUGCGCAUCUUCCCGUCUUCCUUCAGGUUUAUUUGGAAGCCCUUAUCCAGACUGACAGGAGUGACAGAAAUAGAGUCAGUGCCACACAGGAUGGCUACAGACUAGAAAAUCCUGCCGCAGAGAACCUGCUAUGAUGCAUUUGAAAUGGAUCGAGGGGCAGUGUUUCAGGAAAGGAACCAAGGGCCUAGAGGGGACUCUUUAAAGUCAGGUAUGGUUAUGGCUGAAUGGUGUCCCCACACAAAUUCAUAUAUUGACGCCCUAACCCCCAGGACUUGAGAAUGCCACUGUAUUUGGAGGUAGGGUCUUUAAAGAGGCAAAUAAAUUAAAAUGAGGUUAUUAGGGUGGCCCUGAU